GAGUUUGAUCCUGGCUCAGAGCGAACGCUGGCGGCACGCUUUACACAUGCAAGUCGAGCGAGAAAGCGGCUUCGGUCGCAAGUAUAGCGGCGGACGGGUGCGUAUAACGUGGAUAACCUGCCUUAAGGACCGGGACAACCUUGGGAAACCAAGGCUAAUACCGGAUAUGACCACGAUGUCUGAGGGCAACGGGGUAAAAGAUGACCGUUUACGGUUGUCGCCUUUUGAGGGGUCCACGUCCUAUCAGGUAGUUGGUGGGGUAAAGGCCUACCAAGCCAAAGACGGGUAGCCGGCCUUAGCGGGUGAUCGGCCACACGGGGACUGAGACACGGCCCCGACUCCUACGGGAGGCAGCAGUGGGGAAUCAUUGGGCAAUGGGCGAAAGCCUGACCCAGCGAUGCCGCGUGAGGGAAGAAGGCCUUCGGGUUGUAAACCUAUGUCAAGAGGGAAGAAGGGUCUGCAAUUAACCUUGCGGGCUUGACUGUACCUCCAGAGGAAAGCCCCGGUUAACUCCGUGCCAGCAAGCCGCGGUACAUACGGAGGGGGCAAGCGUUGCUCGGAAUAACUGGGCGUAAAGAGUCCGAAGUGGUCUUGGCAGUUGGAUGUGAAGCCCGGAAGUUAAACUUCCGGGGAAUUGGGUUCCCAAACAUUGGUUGGACUUUUGGAGUCCCACAAGCAAAAGGGUUUGGGGGAAAAUUCCCCGGGGGUUAAGCGGGGAAAAUGCGGGUAGAANUCCGGGGAGGGACCACCAGUUGAGCCGCAAGGGGCCCACACUGGGUUUGGGCCCUUGCAACACUGAGGGGGACACAAAAGACGUGGGGNUAGACAGAACCCGGAGUUUAAGANAAAACCCCUGGGGAUAGCUCAAAGGGGGGGAAUUUCCCCACACCAAAUAGGGAGGGCAGGAAAAAAGGGGACCCCAGGCUGCCGGAACCAAGUUAGAGAGACC
rnacentral:rRNA from 1 species